GUCUGGGUAAGUCUUUUACGACCAGCUCCCAUUGAAUUCCCCCAGGACCGGAAGGUAGCAAGGGUAAAUGGUUGUAGCGGUGCGAUAAAAGUAGCUUACCCU
rnacentral:SRP_RNA from 1 species